rnacentral:rRNA from 1 species
AUUGAACGCUGGCGGCAUGCUUUACACAUGCAAGUCGAACGGUAACAGGCCGCAAGGUGCUGACGAGUGGCGAACGGGUGAGUAAUGCAUCGGAACGUGCCCGGUCGUGGGGGAUAACGCAGCGAAAGCUGCGCUAAUACCGCAUACGAUCUAUGGAUGAAAGCGGGGGAUCGCAAGACCUCGCGCGAUUGGAGCGGCCGAUGGCAGAUUAGGUAGUUGGUGGGGUAAAGGCUCACCAAGCCGACGAUCUGUAGCUGGUCUGAGAGGACGACCAGCAACACUGGGACUGAGACACGGCCCAGACUCCUACGGGAGGCAGCAGUGGGGAAUUUUGGACAAUGGGCGCAAGCCUGAGCCAGCAAUGCCGCGUGCAGGAUGAAGGCCUUCGGGUUGUAAACUGCUUUUGUACGGAACGAAAAGCUCUGGGUUAAUACCUCGGGGUCAUGACGGUACCGUAAGAAUAAGCACCGGCUAACUACGUGCCAGCAGCCGCCGUAAGAC